rnacentral:rRNA from 1 species
UACGUAGGGUGCGAGCGUUGUCCGGAAUUAUUGGGCGUAAAGAGCUUGUAGGCGGUCUGUCGCGUCUGCUGUGAAAAUCCGGGGCUCAACCCCGGACUUGCAGUGGGUACGGGCAGACUAGAGUGUGGUAGGGGAGACUGGAAUUCCUGGUGUAGCGGUGAAAUGCGCAGAUAUCGGGAGGAACACCAGUGGCGAAGGCGACUACCUGGCCUGUUCUUGACGCUGAGGCGCGAAAGCUAGGGGAGCAAACGGG